ACCGCACAUCUUUCAAGUACAUUUUGACCUCAAGUCUGAAACAUCUCCUCAUGGUAAAUUUGGCAAAUGAAACGUUCAACUCUUUAUCCUUUGAAUGCAGACGAAGUAAAAAUAUCUGUGCUAACUUGACAAAUGAGAUCAAUUAAGCUAUACUUGCAUUUUACAAUCGGCCUGGGCAAACUAGGAAACAUUGUUGCGGAAACAUUAGUGAUUCUCUAUGUUUCCUCAAAUGUUUCCAUGUUUGCCCACCCGUGAAAACAUUGUUGCGGAAACAAAAUUUGCUUCCCGGGAAGCAAAAAUGUUUCCUACCAUUUCCAAUUUAGAAACAUUUGAUGUUUCCCCAUUAUGGCUAUGUUUUUCACUAAUGUUUCCUAGUGUUUGCCCACUCUGGGAAACAUGGCGAAACAUUGGUAGGAAACAAUGUUUCCGCAACAAUGUUUCCUAGUUUGCCCUGGGCUUUAGAUUCCUUUUAUCAUUCCAGCCUCCCUGAGUAUACUGUGGGUUUUGCUGAUUAAAUGAGAGUAUAAUGCAGUGCAUGGAUUAUAUUGAAAUAACUAAUAUUCAAAAAUGUAAAAAUGCUUUCUAACUAUAUUAAAACACACUUAUCUUGGAAAUAUCCUUACACUAAACUAUACUAACCUAUAUUACUGAUUUCGUGCGUACUCAAUUAAUUCAAUCGUGCAUCAGACAUUUUCAGUGGCGACCUGACCACACCAACAAGACAUGCAUAUGCUAUAUGUAAACGUUUUAAGCCUGGUUUCCAUAAUUAUGGUCGUAAAAAUAGAGUUACAAUCUUUCUCGACGGCCAGUUUAUAAUAGUUUACACCUGUAAACCACAUAAUUAUAAAUCAUAAGCGUAUGGAAACCAGACUUUAAAGAUUUGCAUUAUUCAAACAUUUAGAAAUGUAUUGUCUUCAACCUAUUUAGAUGCAGGUUUAAUACCAUGGCAUGACCAGUUCUAUUACCAGCCCUGGACAGUUUCUUAUCAUAUUCUUUAAAAGCCAUACUUAAUUAUUUAAGGUGGCUCCCUAGGGUUUCAUUUCCGGGGGUUACGUUCUUCGUAUAUAUGUAAUCAAAAUCUAGUAAAAAUUGCCAAAAUUAAACCCAAAUUUCUCCCUUUUCCUUCGGUAAAAUUUUUUAAAAC